rnacentral:rRNA from 1 species
CAGCUGACGAGCCCUUUACUGACGCUAAAGCUCGAAGGUGCGGGUAUCGAACAGGAUUAGAUACCCUGGUAGUCCGCACGGUAAACGAUGGAUGCCCGCUGUUGGCGAUAUACAGCCAGUGGCCAAGCGAAAGCGUUAAGCAUCCCACCUGGGGAGUACGCCGGCAACGGUGAAACUCAAAGGAAUUGACGGGGGCCCGCACAAGCGGAGGAACAUGUGGUUUAAUUCGAUGAUACGCGAGGAACCUUACCCGGGCUUGAACUGCAGCAGAACGAUAGAGAGAUCUUGAGGCCCUUCGGGGCUGCUGUGGAGGUGCUGCAUGGUUGUCGUCAGCUCGUGCCGUGAGGUGUCGGCUUAAGUGCCAUAACGAGCGCAACCCCUUUCGCCAGUUGCCAUCAGGUGAUGCUGGGCACUCCGGCGACACUGCCACCGCAAGGUGUGAGGAAGGUGGGGAUGACGUCAAAUCAGCACGGCCCUUACGUCCGGGGCUACACACGUGUUACAAUGGGGAGUACAGAGAGUCAGGCGUUGGCAACACCGCCUUAAUCAAUAAAGCUCUCCUCAGUUCGGAUUGGGGUCUGCAACCCGACCCCAUGAAGCU